GAAAGAAAAAACUAAAUUUGAAUGCGCGCGCAGAAGGUGUUCAACAGAGCGC
ensembl:ncRNA Y6B3B.14 ncRNA